rfam:Capronia semiimmersa strain CBS 27337 unplaced genomic scaffold supercont1.7, whole genome shotgun sequence.
GGCGUUUUGGCCGAGCGGUUAAGGCGGUGAGUCACUGCAAUCAUUCACAGCUUGCGAUUUGCAUGAAUCUAACGAUUUCUCAGACACCCUGCUACUUGCAGUUUGAGGUGUUCUCUUCGGAGGCACAGGUUCGAAUCCUGUAGACGUCG